UAGUCCACGCCGUAAACGAUGAAUGCUAGUCGUCGGUCGGCAUGCCGUUCGGUGACGCAGCUAACGCAUUAAGCAUUCCGCCUGGGGAGUACGGUCGCAAGAUUAAAACUCAAAGGAAUUGACGGGGGGCCCGCACAAGCAGUGGAGCAUGUGGUUUAAUUCGAAGCAACGCGCAGAACCUUACCACCACUUGACAUCACCAUCGCGAUUUCCGGAGACGGAUUUCUUCAGUUCGGCUGGAUGGAUGACAGGUGCUGCAUGGCUGUCGUCAGCUCGUGUCGUGAGAUGUUGGGUUAAGUCCCGCAACGAGCGCAACCCUCGCCUUUAGUUGCCAGCAUUUAGUUGGGCACUCUAGAGGAACCGCCGGUGAUAAGCCGGAGGAAGGUGGGGAUGACGUCAAGUCCUCAUGGCCCUUACGUGUGGGCUACACACGUGCUACAAUGGCGCUAACAAUGGGUUAAUCCCUAAAAGGCGUCUCAGUUCGGAUUGUCGGCUGCAACUCG
rnacentral:rRNA from 1 species